UCUGCAGCCAAGAAAACAAAACAGUGAAAGUGGGAAACACACACACACACACGCACGCACGCACGCAGAAAGAAGCGGGGGAGGAGGCUGAGAUUUAUAGACCUGCGAGCUGCUUUCUGCGCUGUGAAAUCUAAUUCCAUCCUGCCAGCUUGGAAGCCUUCCCCGCCUAGAAGAGCCUGUAGCUCAGGGCACUGCCUGGCUUGGGACCCUCCUGCCUCUCACCUUCCAGUCCUGACCAGCUCUUACUCCACUGGGCCAGGACGGUCCUCCUCGUGUGGCCUCUGAGCACUAAGGAAACUGAGACACCCAUGCACUUCCACGUCUUUUCCUGCUCACGGAACAGGUGAAGCCGCUUCCUUCUUUUCUUCCCGUUCUUUCCACAUGUCAGUCUCUUACGCUGAGCUCUCGACUGGCCAUU